rnacentral:tRNA from 1 species
GGAGGGUAUAGCUCAGUGGUAGAGCGCAUGCCUAGCAUGCAUGAGGUCCUGGGUUCAAUCCCCAGUACCUCCA